rfam:Stegodyphus mimosarum contig855, whole genome shotgun sequence.
GUACAGGCUCUUUUUAGAGCCAUACAUUCCUUGCAAUGAGUUGCGU